CCCGCACAAGCAGUGGAGUAUGUGGUUUAAUUCGAAGCAACGCGAAGAACCUUACCAGGGCUUGACAUACCGACGACCGGUCCGGAGACGGGCCUUUCCUUCGGGACGUCGGAUACAGGUGGUGCAUGGUUGUCGUCAGCUCGUGUCGUGAGAUGUUGGGUUAAGUCCCGCAACGAGCGCAACCCUUAUUGUCAGUUGCCAUCAUUAAGUUGGGCACUCUGGCGAGACUGCCGGUGAUAAAUCGGAGGAAGGUGGGGAUGAUGUCAAAUCAUCAUGCCCCUUAUGUCCUGGGCUACACACGUACUACAAUGGCUGAUACAAAGCGAAGCGAUACCGCGAGGAGGAGCAAAUCGCAAAAUCAGUCUCAGUUCGGAUUGCAGGCUGAAACCCGCCUGCAUGAAGUCGGAAUUGCUAGUAAUGGCAGGUCAGCAUACUGCCGUGAAUACGUUCCCGGGCCUU
rnacentral:rRNA from 1 species